CAUUACAUGGGUGAAAGGGUAAACUGCUUUUUUUCAUUGGUCGGGUGCGCUGCAGGGGAUGUGUGCCAUCGGUAAUGCCGAUGCCGUCAAUCGGUUCCUUGACCUAAUCACUUUGGUUCCUUCAUCUUAUACCUAAUACCAGUUUAGCAUAUCUCCUUAUCGGAUUUGCAUUUUCCUUAGCUGAAAGGAGGUGGAUGCGCCUACAAGCUUCCUUUGGAAAAUGGGGUUCUCAUCAAAUACACGUAUUGUGGAUUAUGCUGCAGUGGAGCUGAUAGAAAAUGGUUUCAAAUGGAGUAACCAAACAUUCAGAUGGAGUCUACAGAAAAACUUUGAUGUUUACCAGUGAGUGGAGACUGAUGAAGAGUAUUCUGAAUUUUGCAUUAAAGAUGAUUAAAAAGGUUUCAUUCAAUGUAGCCAAACAUCCUGUCGUCUCAAUGAAGCUGUAAGAGACUUUGAAACGGCUACACUACAAUCCCUGCGGAGUGGACAGAAUGUACAAAUUGUGGAAAUGGGACAUUGUGGUAAAAUGACAGUCGCUACAAGCAUUAUACGAUAGAAGAUGUUUCUCCAUUUACAGUUUCAGUCUUCAGUCUUAGUGCAUGGCAUUGUAAAACACUUCAAAUAACUAGCAGAUAACUUGGAGGACCUUCAUGCCAUACUUUUUUCUAUUUAACAAUAUACAUUAAUGCAAGUCAUUUGAGAUCUACUUGUCCAA